UCGAACGGUCCUUCGGGAUAGUGGCGGACGGGUGAGUAACGCGUGAGAACCUGCCUUCAGGAUGGGGACAACAGCCGGAAACAGCUGCUAACACCCAAUGUGCCGCAAGGUGAAAAAUUUAUUGCCUGAAGAGGGGCUCGCGUCUGAUUAGCUAGUUGGAGAGGUAAAGGCUCGCCAAGGCGACGAUCAGUAGCUGGUCUGAGAGGAUGAGCAGCCACACUGGGACUGAGACACGGCCCAGACUCCUACGGGAGGCAGCAGUGGGGAAUUUUCCGCAAUGGGCGCAAGCCUGACGGAGCAAUACCGCGUGAGGAAAGAAGGUCUAAUAGAUUGUCAACCUCUUUUCUCAGGGAAGAAAAAAAUGACGGUACCUGAGGAAUAAGCAUCGGCUAACUCCGUGCCAGCAGCCGCGGUAAUACGGAGGAUGCAAGCGUUAUCCGGAAUUAUUGGGCGUAAAGCGUCCGCAGGUGGUCAAACAAGUCUGCCGUCAAAAACUAGGAGCUUAACUCUGGGGAGGCGGUGGAAACUGUAAGACUAGAGACCGGUAGGGGUAGAGGGAAUUCCCAGUGUAGCGGUGAAAUGCGUAGAGAUUGGGAAGAACACCAGUGGCGAAGGCGCUCUACUGGGCCGGAACUGACACUCAGGGACGAAAGCUAGGGGAGCAAAAGGGAUUAGAUACCCCUGUAGUCCUAGCCGUAAACGAUGGAUACUAGGCGUAGCUUGUAUCGACCCAAGCUGUGCCGUAGCUAGCGCGUUAAGUAUCCCGCCUGGGGAGUACGCACGCAAGUGUGAAACUCAAAGGAAUUGACGGGGGCCCGCACAAGCGGUGGAGUAUGUGGUUUAAUUCGAUGCAACGCGAAGAACCUUACCAGGACUUGACAUGGCGCGAAGCCUUCUGAAAGGAGGGUGUGCCUUAGGGAACGCGCACACAGGUGGUGCAUGGCUGUCGUCAGCUCGUGUCGUGAGAUGUUGGGUUAAGUCCCGCAACGAGCGCAACCCUCGUCCUUAGUUGCCAGCAGUAAGAUGGGCACUCUAGGGAGACUGCCGAUGAUAAGUCGGAGGAAGGUGGGGAUGACGUCAAGUCAUCAUGCCCCUUACGUUCUGGGCUACACACGUACUACAAUGGUCGGGACAAAGGGCAGCAAGACCGCAAGGUGGAGCGAAUCCCAACAAACCCGGCCUCAGUUCAGAUUGCAGGCUGCAACUCGCCUGCAUGAAGGAGGAAUCGCUAGUAAUCGCAGGUCAGCAUACUGCGGUGAAUCCGUUCCCGGGCCUUGUACACACCGCCCGUCACACCAUGGGAGCUGGCCACGCCCGAAGUCGUUACCCUAACCAUU
rnacentral:rRNA from 1 species